UGGCAGCUGAGUUUUCUGUCCGCUUCCUGCCUGUAGAAUUUGGGGGAUCUAUGGCCUUUCUUCAUUUAGGACCAUCUCCAUUCCUUCCAGUCCAAACUGGCAGUGUAUCUGCUGGUAAAAUCCUCUCAAAAUUUUUGUGGGUCUCCUGUGAAACUUGUUGAGGUUUACUCUGUUAGACAAAAAACCACACCCAUCUUGGAGAUGAUUCCUUCUCUACCUUGAGUUUCUGCAGAGGCAAGGGAGAGACAAUGCCCUUUAACUUACCAAAGGCCUGUUGAGAGUAUCUGUGAGUCACACCCUUAAAGUUGUAGGAGAUCCUGUGGUCUGAUUGAAUAGUACUCUGAGAUGCCACGUUUCCCAGGGCUUACCAAAAGGAUUUCAGAAGCUGCACCGUUGAUCUCAUUUUAGACCAUGUUUUCUCAGACAGUUCCCUAGAAAUGAUCUUUGCUUGGAAACUGUUUCUUAACUUUAGCAUUGUUUGCUGUCUAGAGAGACUGAGGAUUUUCAAAACCUUCAGGUCCUGCUUCCUUUUUUGUUUGGUAGUCCCUCCCCCGAUUUAUAUUCUCAUAGUUUGCUAUAAACAGCAAGAAGAAGGAACCAGGUAGCAUCUUCAGUACUUUGCUGGGAAAGCUCCUUAACUAAAUCACCCAGUUCAUUUGGCACUUUGUAAACGUCUCAUAUAAAUGCAUGGGUCUGCAGGUCACGUAACUACACAUAAGUGUCGUAUUGUUAAACCUUUUGCCACUGUGCAAUUUCUAGUUUCCAAUAAGAUUUUCCUCACCUUCAUUCAUGCCUUUAAUAGAAAUCUCUUCAAAGUCCAAAAUUCUGUGAACAAUGUGUCCAAGGCACUUUACACUGUCACUGGCACUCUUCUUAGGCCCACUACAUGGAUCCAAAGCCUCUACCACCUUUUAGGUUUUUGUCAUGGCAGCACCCCACUUCUAAAAUCUGGAUUAGUUAUCCUGUUGCAUAGCAAAUUACCCCCCAAACUGAAUCAGCUUAGAAUGACAAAUAUUAUCUCACAGUUUUUGCUGGAAAGGAAUCGACUUAGCUGGGUGAUUCUCUGAAGAUCUCUGUCUCACGAUGUUGCAGUCAAACUGCUGAUCAGGGUUGUAGUCAUCUCAAAAUUUGACCGGGACUGAAGGAUCUGCUUCAGAAUUCACUGAUGUGGUUGUUGGCAGGCCUCAGAAGAUCCACUUCCAAUCUCACUCAUCCAGGCCUUUCUGAAGGCCCAUGAUUCCAACCUGGAACUUAAAACAUAAUAGCUGGCUUCCCUCAGGGCAAGAGAUCCAAGAGAAAGCUAGAGAGUGUGUAUGAACCCAAGAUGAAAGUGAAAGUAUUUUAAUAACCUAAUCUUGAAGGUGAUAACUCAUCACUUUCUGCCAUAUUCUGUUCAUUAGAAUCUAAUCACCAAGUCCAGCCUGUGCUCAAGGGCAAGAAUAACAGAAAGUAAGGAUCACCUGGGGCCAUCUUAGUAGCUGCCUCCCACAAGUGAGAAGUGGCAUUUGAAGUCAUGGAACUACAGAGGGAAAUUAUCUGCUGUUUAAACCAUCUGACCUGGAAGAAUUAAAAUUAAAAGAGGUUUCCAGAGUUAAGAGUAUUCCCAGAUGGUGACGCAGCUGGACUUGAGAACUGGCCUCCUUGGGGUCCACUGCCAUCCCCCACCACUUCCCAUCUCCGUGUCCUCGGAAGGUGCUGCUGGCUGCUCACGCCACCACUUGCUGCUUCACCUCUGCAGCUUUCUACUGUCACCAGCAUGUUCACCGUGUCCCUCUCUGCGUCUCAUGCCCUGAAGGAUGGAGGCAGGCUCCACAGGAUUGGAUCCCAGGGUAAUAAGAGUGAUAGUCAGUGUGGUGAACUUGGCUUCACCGCCCUUUCCAUCUCUCUCCGGCACAUUGUCCUUGAUCCAAAAUUAGGGGCUUGGGCUGUCCCUAACCUUCAGAUGAUUCUUUCUCAGACGCCUCUGCAACCUGGGGUGUAGACAUGGCACGGGCCCACACCGGCAUCCUGCUAACUUUCACCACAGGCUCUGUAGCUUCACCUUGACUUCACAGGGGGGCUUUGAAGCUCACCACUCAACUGAUUCUCCAGCUGUGUUUUUUAGUUUCCAGAUGUAGAAGCCAAAUCACUCCUAAAUAAAUCACAGAUUGGAAAAACAGGAAAGAAGCUUUGUAGAACCCAGGUUGCAAAGAGCAGCAUAUGGAUAUGUUUUGGUUUGGCCCACACAGUGCUCGGAAAAAUUUCACGGUAGUUGUCUACAUGGAAAAAGAAAGAUAUUUUAUGUGAGCAUCCGGAUUUCCAACUUUGUCUGAAAAGUCAUAGGAUCCCUCGGCACUGCGCUGCAUUCCUGCGUGGCUUGUGUUUUGAGCGGGGCAUGUGGGCUUCCGUUGGCAGACACUUCCGCUGGGAAUUCUUCCUCUUGAAUACCUCCUUUAGUUGAUCAAUGAAGAAAGCGAACCUCAGAGAGAUCGAAUGACUUGACAACUGUGCUGUCCAGUGUGGUAGCCACUGGUCCUGUGUGGCAGAAGCACUUAAAGUGCAGUUAGUGUGUGACUGAGGAAUGGAAUUUCAUUUUUUUUUUUUUUUGCGGUACGCGGGCCUCUCACUGUUGUGGCCUCUCCCGUUGCGGAGCACAGGCUCCGGACGCACAGGCUCAGCGGCCGUGGCUCACGGGCCCAGCCGCUCCGCGGCAUGUGGGAUCCUCCCGGACCGGGGCACGAACCCGCGUCCCCUGCAUCGGCAGGCGGACUCUCAACCACUGUGCCACCAGGGAAGCCCUGGAAUUUCAUAUUUUAACUAAUUUAAACUUAAAAUUUUUAGCCAAAGCAUUGUGAAAUAUUUUUCUGUUAAACACAGCUUUAUUGCCUUGGUGGCACUACAUUUCGAUGAAGUCUUGGGUUGCAUUAGAUCUUAUUGGUGUAUUGCAGUGCACAUAUACUUCCUACCUUUUAAAAUGUGGCUGCUAGAAAUCUAACAAUUACAAGCGUGGUUCACGGUGUAUUUCUGUUGGACAGUGUUGACCUGACAGAGCUCACACAGCUUGUUGGUGGAAAGUCUGGAAUUUGUCAGCAGAUAUCCACGGUUCUAACCAUUCUUUUUCUCUAUUACUACACUCUUGCCCAACUUUCCUUCUAAUUCUCAAAACCUUUUCAUUAUACCAGACAAUCUCAUAAACCCCUGUAGGAGUUUAUUUUGCCUCAUUUUUGCAUGGCACAUGAUACAGAAAUGAUUUUAUGUAAAUGACAAUUUAGCUUUGUGUAUUAUCAAUGAUCAUAUA